rnacentral:rRNA from 1 species
AAUCAACGCUGGCGGCGUGCCUAACACAUGCAAGUCGAACGCGAAAGCCCCGCAAGGGGUCAGUAGAGUGGCAAACGGGUGAGUAACACGUGGGUGAUCUGCCUCAGAGUGGGGGAUAACGACCCGAAAGGGUCGCUAAUACCGCAUAACAUCCUGCGCUUGGAUGCGUGGAGAUCAAAGUUGGGGAUUCGCAAGAACCUGACGCUUAGAGAGGAGCCCGCGGCCGAUAGCUAGUUGGUGAGGUAACGGCUCACCAAGGCAACGAUCGGUAUCCGGCCUGAGAGGGCGGACGGACACACUGGGACUGAGACACGGCCCAGACUCCUACGGGAGGCAGCAGUGGGGAAUUGUUCGCAAUGGGCGCAAGCCUGACGACGCAACGCCGCGUGGAGGACGAAGAUUUUCGGAUCGUAAACUCCUUUCGAUCGGGAAGAACAGCUCUUGAG